AGUCUUAUAAUGGAUCUCUCAGUCACAUCAACGCCCGAGUCUAUGGUGAUGAUAAUGUUUGUGCAAAGUGGAUGCCAAGUGACUGCACAAUCAAGGUUUCUGAGUAGUUGAAAUAGAUAAGUCUUGAGUCAAUCAGUACAUCUGUACCACAUUCAUGUGGCAAAUGCUGCUUUAUGGAGAUGUUUCUAAUACUGACCUACAAUAAUUCAGCCAAGAUCACGUUUCUACUGUCUUCAGGAAAUGAGAAAAAUGAAUCCAGGAAAUUUCCAUCUUUAACUAUACUCUGUAAAUGUGCUGUCCAAUACACAGAUAGCUACUGAGCACUGGAAUAUAGCUAGUCUGAAUGGAGAUGUUCUCGAGCAGUUAAAGUGAAAACAAGAUCACGGAAAAGGAGAUAUAUUUUGGUAGAUCCAAGAAUCUAUGUUUGAUAGAGUCUUCACAGAAAGAGUCGAAAUUGACAACAUGCUUAUUGCUUUGGCUUUGGAUGUUGGUUGGGAACAUGGUUCUUGAAUAUCCACACUUCAAAGUAGAUCUUACUUUUUGGAAGAGUAGAAAGCUCAUUACGUUGGUUAAUUUGAGAAGUAAGACAAGGGCUCAGAAAGGUACUAGUUAUUAGUACCUUAUACACUAGCCUGCCUGGCAUUCUUACCAUGACAGUGAAUUGUCAUGGUAAGAGUUGUGGUUUUAAACCUCUUUUCCCCAGAUGUUACAUGGAGUAAUAUAUGUAUCCACAUACAUAUUAAAGUAGGAGGUAGAUAUUAUAUUGACUGGUGACUUGAGGACAUGAUACACAAAAUAGGUAACGUUUGAUGAAGCUUGAAAUGAGCCAAGAAAGGACAAAUCUGGAUAACACACUGUAGCCUUGGUGAUGAGAAAGGAGAAAGGAAAGAUAAUGAAGAUGGGUAUCAUAUUGCUUUGCCUUGAAUUUGCAGAAAGAGAUAUUUGGAUUAUGAUGUUACCUUAAAAAAGGCAGUUGAUAUUACUCAGUGAAAGUUCAGAAGCCAAGAAAACUAUGUGUGUGUACAUAUAUGUAUAUAAUGUACAUAUGUUUAUUUCUUUUUUUAAAAAAUUCUUACCUACCUCUCUACUAUAACAAAAUUAAUUUCAUUCUUUUUUGUUGCAUUUAAACUUUAUCUUGGUAAUGUUCAUAUUACAAAUUUGCCUAUAUUGUUGGUAUUAUAUUGUUACUAUAUAGAUAUAUUUGUAAGCAUAAAUGCUUGGUAUUCAAAUGUUUAACUAGUAAUAUUCAUAUUACAAAUUUGCAUAUAUGUUUGGUAUGAUAUUGUUACUAUAUAGAUAUGUUAUAUUUGUAAGCAUCAAUGCGUGGUAUUCAAAUGUUUAACAACUCUCCAUUUUUUUCUCAAGUAACCCUCUGACAAAAGGCUGUAUUUAUAUAAAACUGACAGAUUUUUAUGGUGGAUCAUUUUUCUUACAUUAAUUACAUAGGUAGUAUUAUUUUAGUUGGAGGUCAAAUAACAUACUAUCAAUGACAAUUUAGAGAUAAAUUGUUUGAAAUCCUGAUAUGGAAGAGCUAUAGAAAUAACAUGGGUGACCUCACGUUUUUAAGAUAGCCUCUCUGCACCAUAUGGCUAGUCCCAAAUGGAGAUCAAGAAAGCAAGGUCAUUUUUAAUCUCUACAUACAUCUUGCUUUCCUGGUUUAACACUAAUCAUUCAUUGUAUUCUGCAUAUUGGAAGGGAGCAGAUGAAGGAUACUAAGAAUUCACUUUGAAAACAUGUACUCAAUGUUUCAUAUCCAAAAACUCCCAGGGAUUAAACAAUCAGAAAACCCUACAUCAUUUGCAUUUUAAUGGAUACAAAUAAGAGUUGAAACAUUUCUUUACACUUAAACUACCAUGAACAAGCUUAUAUAGCUAUUAGGAGUGAAAAUGGGGAGGAGGAGGAAGAAGGGGACUCUGAAAUUUAAGGAAAAUUCAUUUCUUUUACAGAGUUGGAGCUAGGCUGAUUAAGUCAAGGUGCCUAACUCUGCUAGAGACACAUUUUCCUAAUGAAAAAUACUGUAACUUCAGACUUUUCACAUUUUCCAUGAAUAGAUGUCAUUACUCAUUAUCACAUUUAUCAUUACUUGUAAAACAAUGAGGUGGCAGCAGGGGGGGAAAGGACUAAAAUAGAAUUGAAAAAAAAAUUGGUACUAGCUAAGGUAAUUUAAAUGAAGCUUUUUUUUUUCCAGAAGCAAAGGUGACCUCCAUGAUUACUCCACCAUACCUUUGGGAAACUGACAUAAGAUAGUGGACAACUAUAAUGGAAAGAAUAGUGACUACGGUUUCUCUCCACCCUCCUCUAAUUCUGCAUUAGAAAUGAAAAAAAGCUUGACUGGUAAAAUUCUGAAACAGACAAUGAGCUAUUUAAGUGAUAAUUACUGAAUCUCAUUUUUAGAAGCCCAUUAACAGGUAUCUCUUUAGUCAUGAGAAAAUUAUUCAUAAAUAUUAAAUUGUGUGAUCACAUUGCAAGUUUCUUUCAAAUUAUAGAAUCUGACUAAUUUCACAGUAACUGUUUGCCAUUAAUUGGCUUUAAGAUUUAAUCAAGUAAAGACAUCAUUGUUUAAUUCUAAUUUGUAAAGCCAAAAAAAGUGUAACAUUAUUAUCUUUAGUCAAACUUCUUCAAAUGUUUAUGCAAGGUAGAAAUUGAAAACAACAGGUACUCCUGUGCUUACAGUUUCUCCAGUUCAAAGAACAAAAUUCAUCAAUGGGAAGCUGCAGUGGAUUGUAGAGUAAAAUCUUGCUGCCCAACUAGAGAAUAAAAAGAGUUUGACCAGACUUAUAACAAUGACAUAAUGGCCAUUUUGUUGAGUUCUUAAUGAGUUUAGUAGGUAGUGAAAUGGGAAAGGUUCCCUUGUCCCCCUUGCAGGGUGUGUGGUGGGGGUGUAGCUUGCUUCUUCAGUGCCCCACUGCUCAAACUUCUAGGGGAGCAUACAGAUGGGCAGGUUGUGGGGCUCCAACCCCACGGCAGUGUCUAGGGGUGAAUGUUUACAGCUCCUGAAGUGCCAGUGGGCGUGUGUUACAGGGUGCUCUGUUAGUUUGCCCUCUCUAGGCAGCUUGUGUUAACCAGCUCAGUUGGACUUUGUUGCAAGGAUAGAAGACUUUCUGUAUCUCCAGGUUCUUGCCUUGGUGUACCAGAAGAAUCAAUCACACAUGGUCUUGGAGAAUGAGUGCAAAGUUUUAUUGAGUGCAGGUAGCUCUCUGCUGCUCUUCCACCAGUAUGCUCUCCACAACCAGCCGCUUGUGUGUUCUUCCACUGAUGUGUCCUCUCAAUGUCCAGACGCUUCUGUCUCUGCCUUGCUAGGAUCUUGGGCUUUUAUAGACCUUGGAUGGGGAGGUGGUGAGCCAGGGUGGUCUUGGGAAAUGCAACAUUUGGGCGUGAAGUCAGGAGUGCCUGUUCUCACCUAGGUCCGUGGGGGUAAAGCCCUAGCUAGGGACCAUGCCUUCCUCUACCCAGCACUUCCCUUCCUCAUUCUGUAUCAUUUAAAGAGACCACACUCCUCCCUUCCCAGCACUCCUGUAUCAGUAGGAAGAUAGAAGAAAACUCUAGAUCACCAUCAAGUUCAAGUCAUUUCAGAUUUUCAGUGAAUAUAUGUUUGCUGUGUCCUUCAGGUACCAAGAUGCAGGGAAAUGAUUAAAAGGCCCUGAGAUAUACAAUACUGAAUGGUAGGGAGGAGGAGGCCUUCUAGGUUGGAAAGUCCCGUAGCUGACUAGCUACUAAAUGUUCUAUCAGCUAUUGAUAAGACCGUGUUCAGAACAUACGGAAAUUGUAGGAUAUAAUUUUUGUAUGUUACUUGUCACCAGCUGUUCAAUAUUAUGAAUUAUUCCUGAGACAUUACAGAAGUUGAGAAUGAAUUGUGCCCAUAAACAGAAAACAUAUUAACCUAUACAAUACACUCGUUUUCCUUUUAGAGACACGAAUACCCCUAGCUCAAGGAGUCGAUAUGUAUAAAAUAGGCAACUAGGGGCAUGCAAAUAUUGUGGAAAUGGUGUUUCUGAUUGGCACUGGCAGAUUUAUUAUUCGAAAUAAUCCUGUUGGCAAAAAAAGGAAAUUUUUUUUCCGUAUCAUAAAAUCUGAUUUCAAAAACUUGCUCCUUUUUGACUUUCUCUAUAAGCUUGUAAGUCUGCAUUCUUCUCUCAUUUUUAUAUCCAGGCUCUAUUGUAAUUUAUCUGUUGCUAACCAGUUUUCAAUAAAAUAUAUAAUAAAUAAGAUUUUCGGUUUUUAUUUUUCAAUGAUUCAGUUAUUCAUAAAGCUGAUGGGAGAUAGGAAAUUAAAGUUUUCCGCAAGCCUUCUUAUAAGACUGUGGUUGUGUCUGUAGUCUUAUUUUUUUGAUGACUGUGAACAUUAAUUAAGCUAUAGCUAUGCAGGUUGGAAGGUCUAUUAUGGUCUGAAUAUCUACAAAUUUAUAUAUUGAAAUCCUAACCCCCAAUAUGAUGAUAUUCAGAUAUUGGGCCUCUGGGAAGCAAUCAUAUCAUGAAUUCAGAGCCCUCAUAAAUGAGAUGAUGUCCCUUAAAAAAAGAGGCCCAAGGGGGUUUGUUUGCCACUUCUGCCACAUGAGGACUCAUCUAGAAUGUGCCCUCAAUAUUUAAAUGGCUAUACUGCAGGGAUUCACAGUGGCACUGACAUGCCAGCCCCCUGCCCCUUCAGCCCCCUCUGGACUUUGGGCACUGACAAGCAUGGAAGGGAGGUCGAGGUGGGGAUAAGGGCGGCUUGGCACAGGCCUGCAGGUGCCCCUCAGCACAAGCAGCCUGGGCGCCAUGGGCUCUGUGGAUGGCAGGUUAAUGGCAGCAGGAGGCAGACAGGCUCCUGGCUGCAAAGGGGCAGGUCCCCAGUGAAACACUAGCUUCAGGCCAGGGAUGACCCAAGAAGCCUGCGGGUCAGGAUGUCAGUUCCAUGGACCAGAAUGAAAACUAAUGGCGCUUUUUCAGGGCCUGCCCAUAAUCACCCAUGGGCCAAUCAGCAUGCACUUCCUGUCCUCUGAAGCCCAUACAAAUCCUGGACUCGGCCAGACUCAGGAAGAUGACAGGACAAACCUGCUUCUGGAGAGAAGCUACCCACUGUGGGUCUCCUCUCUACUGAGAGCUCAGCAGAAGACAGGAUGACCUGCCUGCGUAGAGGAGGUACCCACUCCAGGGUCUCCUCUCUGCUGAGAGCUGCAGAUUCAUCAGACGACCUGCCUGAGGAGAGAAGCUACCAACUACAGGUCUCCUCUGAACUGUUCUGUUGCUCAAUAAAGCACCUCUCUGCCUUGCUCACUUGUCCACAUACCUCAUUUUUCCUGGAUGCGGGACAACAAGUCAAGACCUGCCAAAUGGUGGGGCUGAAAGAGCUGUAACACAGGCAGUGCUGAAACAUGCACCUCACUCGCCAUAUUGCAGGUGACAAGAAGGAGAGAAGAGCUGUGGCCCCUAGGGGAGCCCAGGCCUAGAAGCUCCCCGAGCCAGGGCAGUGACACCUUCUUUGGGGCUCUGUAGUUCCUGGUGUCUCCAAGCUUCCAGGCACCACUGUGUUUCCUGGUGUCAGCUGUGGCAGCUAUUUGCAGUACACCUGGUCCAGCCAUAGCCUUGCAGUGAGCAGGCACUCGUGCCAGUACCUGGAGCUGCCUGCCCUACCAUAGCCAGAAUAUCUGGCUAUGCACAGUGGCCAGACCCCACACUCUCUCACACACCCCUCACCACUCCAUGCCUGGCUCACACUUGGCAGGUGGAGGAUCCAGGUUGGUAGCAUGAUCCAAGCGCAGCCUGCCAGGCCAAGUGGGUGGAAGGAGCCCAGUGGGCCUGAGCAAAACUCAGGCAAAGGUGCCCCUGGCCACAGAGUUUACUGGCUGGAAAUGUGACACCCCAAAGAUCCUGUGACAGUGUGGUGAUGCUUUCUUGCAUUUUCUGAAACCCAUCUUUUGCACCUCCAAACUAGAGUCUAAAAGCUGAAUGUUUUAUGCUGUAGACAAUUUUCUGUAGCUUGAGGAAAUUUCAGCCACUUUGGAGGUGGGGAGGAAGUCAUGCACACAGGAGAGCUGAGAGGAAGUGGCAUGAAAUCUUUAUUAGAACUCUGAGCUCUUCUGUCUCCUCUGCCCUAUUCCAGGGUUCACUCCACCUAGUGGCAGAUACUCUGGGGAAGGAUUCUUUCUCUGGGUAACCCUGGGGGCUUUAUUUCUAUCAGAGAUGUCUUGUAAUUUAUUUCCCCUAACUUCACCCACUUCGCCCCUGGAGCACUUUCCACUCGUGUUCAAUCAAAAUAAAAAGAUGCCAACAUUUAUAUGGCAUUAGGGAGGAUUGACUGGCUCUUUUCCAGGAUGAGGGCAUGGUUGGGAGCUUCUUCCUUUUCUUCUGGAAACAUUUGUUGCUUUCUUUGGACUGGCUUAUUAAAUUACAGUAUGUUAUUCUCUUGUUCUGGUUUGGUGGUUGCUGUUGAACAUUUUCUCAUUGGGUUUUAUUGCUGUCAUUGUUGUUCUUUUUUGCUCGUUUUGUGAAAUUUUAUGGGAGAGAAAUUAAAUUUUUGGACCCACCAUCUUAACAUGGAAGCUUGUAAACAAUAUUUUACUGGCCACCUUUAUUCAUUACUUAGAAAAGAAACUCAAUCUAUCAAAACUAUAUUUCAGACAUAGGAUUAUUUUGAUGAAGUGAAAUUUAUUAUACAUACGGUGAGACCUAACUUGUGUUUUUAAUAUCCUUAAAGUGCCUCGAUUGUGUGGUGAUAGGAGCAAUAAACAUCAAAUAUAAAUAAGUACUUGCACCUGACAAGUAAUUUAUAAAUAUUUUGCAUGUACUAUGACCGUACUUAUUUAUGUACAGAAAAUACAUAGUCAGACUAUAUCCACAAAUAAAAAUGCUGACCAUAUAAAGUGGUAAUUCAUAGUUAUUACAUGUCUCUUCUCUCUUGGUUUAUUUUCCUCUACAUCUUUUC
rnacentral:lncRNA from 1 species